rnacentral:lncRNA from 1 species
AAAUUAGCAUUUUAACAUAAGGGCAUCACACAAUUAGUUACAAAAUCCAAAUACAAAAACUAUGCUAGGUCUGCAUUUUUUUUCAUGCAUCACCUGAGCUCACUGCACUUUCUGUGCAGUAGCAACCUGAAGCCAAAAGAACACAAAACUGUACAAACGAAAAUAAAAAUAUGUCCACAUGCCAAAUAACUUUGAAAGCCUGAGUCCUACCACAACAGUUCAAACAGUCAAUAGUAAGAAACGAAGUACAAAAAUGGAUUAGUAGACAUUUCCUCCGUAUGGCGAAUUGCCUGAAAAGAGAGCAGUAGGUAUAAUGAUGGGUGUUACUUUCUUGUGCAACCACCAAAACUUCACCAAGAAAGUAAAAUAUAUUAGGAUCAUCGUACCUUUAUUUUCACUAUAAUCCUUGCCCUUCCUUCUAGACUAUAUGAUGAUGGUGCAAGCUAGCUAGCAUCUUCAGAUUAGUCCAUCCAAAAAGAACACCAGAAGUAACUAUUGGAUUGAUUGUAUUAUCCCUGAAACGUCAUUAUCACAAAUUCAGUUAGAGCAUAAUAAUAAAUAGAAGUGCAGGGCUUGCUUAUCACACUUGACUCAUAGGCCUUAUCUAAUCCCUUUCCAAAGCAAACCAUCUAUCUAUUUGAAAUAGGCAAGAGGUAGGAAAAAAUGCUAUAUACCAAAGAGUCAUAGUGAGAAAAGCAUUUGGUAGGAUUAUCAUUGUCUUCUCAUUUAAUUCCCCAGCUACCGGCCUAACACUGAAGGUUGCACUGCAACUACUUGGUUCCAAGUUCAAUAUGGAAAUUUGCAGAAAGUUUAGGCUGAACAGUUUUUAUAAAAAAUAAAACCCAGUGCAACAUAGGAUAAGAAAUGCCUAGUGCAAUCAUAAUCAUGUGGUUACUAUUGUUGAUUGUUUGCAGGAAGCUCAAAGGAAGCAAGACUUCAACAAAAAUCUCUGAAUGCAUUCCAAGCUUCUGUAAGGCAUACGUCAUUUCAAAGGGCAAACUAUCAUUCAUGCACUCUACACCUGAUGCCUGCAAAACAGCCAAGACCAUAUCUUCUUCAACUGUUUCUUCUCCUAGCUCCGGAAGCCUUUCCACUGCGCCCUCAGGUAAUACUCAAGUCUGCAUUUGAUUUUGGUUUCUGAAAAUUGUUGAUUACACCUAUCAACUGAAUACAAACAAAAAAAGUGUAUUAGUGUGUUACUAACUAUUCUGUCUACAGCAGAGUGGGCUGACAGAAAUGGAAUGUCAGCUGUAUUAUUCCGCCAGUCAUCUCUGCCAUCGCAUCGUGAUCACACACUCAUAAAUAUAAACAGGUCAAUCCUGAAGCUAGCCCUUCAGGCAGUGCUGGCGCGCGAGAUCUCUUACCAUGCUGAUACAACCCUGAAGACAAAUUCACAAUCAAUCACAUCAGUAGUGCAGCUCAGUAGCAGCAGCAGUGGGGAUUCAGUUUAUAGCAGCUUCCAGGGGAUAGCUUCCGAGAUAUCUCUGAUCUACAGGCAGCAGUUUCAAAAACUGCAACAAACCUUGGGCAUUCUCAUGACCAGGUAGCCGUUUCACCUUGGGCAAAAACAUUUCAUUCUAUUGGGUACAAAUUUUUUUCUUUUAAGAUGAUGGAAGGGUUCAUCUCUAGGCCUCAGCAUCAUACAAUGCACACUACCAAAGCAAAAUAUCACUACAUGAAAGCAUACAUGUUUACCCAAAUGAAUGUGCAAUUUAUGAUAUUUUUUGGCUCAACAGGAUGAUCUGAAGCUUCAAAUUGAGAGUAUGAAGGUCAAACUGCGACAUGUAUUCUACAGUUGUGGCUAUGGACAACUUUUGGCCAGUCCGGUGUAUUCUAUGGUUGAGGCAAUGGAGCACUUUUGACCAGUCUGGUGUAUUCUAAAGUUGUGGCACUGGAGUAGUCAUUAUCCACAAUACCAGGUAUGUUGUUGUUACCAUGUAUCAAUGUGAACAUGAAUCGUGAGCACUGGAUAAUAGUAGUAAUGAUAUACUCCCUCCGUCCCAAAAUUCUUGUCUUAAAUUUGUCUAAAUAUGGAUGUAUCAAGUCACGUUUUAGUAUUAGAUACAUCCGUAUCUAGACAAAUCUAAGACAAGAAUUUUGGGAUGGAGGGAGUAUAUACAAUGUAUAUUUUGUUCCAGUCUAUGCUAUGACAUUGUGAGCCACAUCUAUUUUGUGCACAUUUUGCUUUGUAUUUGAAAAAUCCCCCCUCCCUCUUUGCUGCUUGUCAUGCUCAGACACCGGCAGAUAGGACAAAUAAACCAUACACAAUACAUGUACAUAUGAACUGAAAUACACUAGGCAUCCUAAAGCUAACAUGGAAAAAUAAUGAAACGACCUGAAAGAACGAAUGCAGCAAAUGCUAAAGCAUAUAAUAAUGAAGGUCUAUGAAAACCUAGCUGUUUUUUGGGGACAAGAAUCAGUUAUUUCUAGUUCCCUAAUUCUGGAGCUCUGUGUGAACAAGGCCAGAGGACUAAAAUAUCAAAAGCUAGCUAAGGACUCAUCAACAGAUUUUUCUUGUGCUGGCUAUAUGUCUCAAACGAACAAUAGGCAAAGGGUGUACUUAUGAACAUACGUAAGCAGACACCAUAUCAAUAGCUAACAGCAUCACACAACAACCCGAUCACACAUCAAGAUGGAUUGAUGGAAAUGGAAAGAUAAAGUAUGCUAUUGCAGUAGAACCAAGUGUAAUAAUGAUUAUAAGCACAGGUAUGUAUAUUUGAGAAAAUAGAAGAUUAAGAAAGGGGAACAUGCAUCAAAAAAAGCUUUCGAAAAGCAGUAGUAAUUUCACCUCUGCAACAGAGAAAGUACAAGUAGUUGGCUUUUCCUACUGAUGCCUAAUUGCCUAAAUAAAAAAUGAGUAGUAGGUAUAAUGAUGGUGUUAUUUUCUUGCGCAAGCACCAAAACUUCGCUGAAAAGGUAAAAUAUAUUCGGAGCAUUGUACCUUUAUUUUCCCUAUGAUCCUUGCCCUUGCUUCUCGACUAUAUGGGCCUUAUCUAAUUCCUCUCCAAAGCAAACCAUCUUUAUAUGCGAAAUAGGCAAUAGGUGUGAGCAAAAAUGCUAUAUACCAAAGAGUACAUGGCAAUCUAAACUGAAGUGCUGCUCACAAGAAACCGAAUAUGAUAACAUGUUGUUGCCCGCUCUAAUAAUAUAUAAGGUGUUGGAAAGGAGGGGGUCUAUUUUAUUUAUACAGUUUAGUUUAGUGAUUUGGUAAAAAAUAAGGGCAUAUCCAAGCCAGACAUAUCCAAGCCUCAAAUCCAUCGAGUCACUUUGGUUAGAUCAUAAUGAGCAGAAAUGAAAAAUAGUGGCAAAUUCAGCAAAAAGAAAAACAAGUUUUGCAUCUACACAAAAGUGAAGCAAGUUAAUGAGCUAAAUUAGUGGACCUAGCACAUAUCAGCAAAAGAAAAGGUGGGAGGAGUGAUACGCCUUCUACCUGUCAACGCAUGGCUGCAGAGGGUCGCUUGCCUACGCCCCUCGCCCACGUUGCCAUGGCCCU